UUUUAUUAGUCUUGGUAAAAAUAAUAUAAUAAAAAAAAUGUAUUAUCAAAGCUUUAAUUUAUUUAUAUAUAUAAUUCAUAUCUGCAUUUGAUUUAGAUUUACCUCUUAUGGGCUCGGCACACGGGAGGCGACAAACGACUGCGAUCAGCGAAAUUUGUCGCUGUCGCUUUUAUAUUACCUGACACACGGGAGGCGGCCAAUGGUAAAACUUGGUUUAUGCUUAACGCAUUCACUUUCCGCUUGGUGAUGAUGCGGCUCGGCUUGCAGAUGGAACGCGCUUCACAACUCGCAGCGUUAAAUGCUUGACGCGUCCGCGGGGUCCGCACGGAAAAGUUGCAUCAUUUUAACAACCACGCCCCUCCACCGCGCCUCCGCACGGCCCAAAAUUUCCGCAACACGCACCUGGGAAAUUUUCUAACCACGCAGACGGUCAGACCCAGAAAAACAUGGCGGACCGGCAAGAACUAGUAUGGCAGAGGUUGGUAAAUACAGACAUUUGUAUGAUUCAGCUCUCAGAGAUCACCGUGAUCAACAUGUUGUUAAUAAUUCUUGGAGAGAAAUAGCUCGCACUGUCGGAAAAGACGAGAACGCUGUUAAAAAUGCUGGAAUACCAUGUUGUAAACAGUAAUUUCUACUUCUAUUAUGGUGUAGUGUUGGAUGCAUGCCAUAGAGCUCCAUGCUGCCCCCUACAGUUUGGGAGAAUAUUGGCUCACCGCAGAGACAAGCCGCAUGAACCAUAAACGCUGCGAGUUGUGAAGCGCGUUCCAGCCGCGAGCCGCAUCACCGCGCGGAAAGUGAAUGCGUCAAGCAUAAACCACGCUUUAUGCGGCUCGCGGAUGGAACGCGCUUCACACAAAGUUGAAAAUAUUUCAACUUUCUGGGAUCGCGUCGCUGGGUCGCCUGUGCACGACACGUGCAUGAGCGCAAAAUUUCACACGCACGUUUUCCACGUUUCGCUUAGUAGGAGGGAGACCCGCAAUUAUCGCUUUGUCGCGCAUGUCUCAUUGAAAAUGAAUGGCGGAGAGGGAAUGUCGCCUCCCGUGUGUCGAGCCCAUUACUGUAUCCUCUACACACACACACACACACACACACACACACACACACACACACACACACACACACACACACACACACACACACACACACACACACACACACACACACACACACACACACACACACAAGCCCCAGAUUUCCCUCCCCAGCCACUUGGGUCAGCUCCUCCAGGGGAAUCCCACGGCGUUCCCAUGUUCAAGAGUCCCUCCAGCGAGUCCUGGGUCUACCUUUAGGUCUCCUCCCGGUUGGACGUGCCCGGAAAACCUCACCAGGGAGGUCCAGGAGGCAUCCUGACCAGAUGCCCGAGCCACUUCAGCUGGCUCCUCUAGAUGUGAAGGAGCAGCGGGUCUACUCCGAGCCCCUCCCGGAUGACCGAGCUUCUCACCCUAUCUCUAAGGGAGAGCCCAGACACUCUUCAGAGAAAACUCAUUCCAGCCGCUUGUAUCCGUGAUCUCGUUCUUUCGGUCUCUACCCAAAGCUCAUGACCAUAGGUGAGGGUAGGAACGCAGAUCCACCGGUAAAUCGAGAGCUUUGCCUUCUGACUCAGCUCUCUCUUCACCACGACAGACCGGUAUCCGCUACUCCGAGUUGUAAUCAUAAGAGUUCUUUGUUUCAAACUUUGCCGUCAUCAACUAUUUGCCAUUAAAGUUUAUCACGCGUGUGUUAGCAGCUAGCAACAUACCUUUUGACCAUCCUGACAGAUUUUGACCAAACUUCAGUACAAUUUUAUUGGGUGCUCUUUUUUAAGCUUCUCACCAAUCCAAGAUGGCUGCCACAGCUAACAAAGACAAAAACAUGGCGUUAACGUGAUCAGGUUUACUGGCAUUGUGUUAAAAUGGUGAAAACUGCCCAGUGGAUCGUAGGGAGCCCGCUACCAGAUCUUAUACUCUCAGACUGCAAAGGAAGGCCAAUCGUAUCGCUGCUGAUUCCUCCCACCCAGGUCAGGAACUGUUAGGGUUUGGGUUAGGGUUAGGCUGAAGCAACUAAAACAUAUUAAUUAUGACCAAUAAGAUGUGAUGUUCCAUAUAAAUAUGAACUAUCAACCUGAUAGAUCUUUCAAUGUUUAAUCAGAAGAUUCUAGGGUUCAUUCAGGGAUCAUAAACACACUUCGUAUUAUUUCAGUCAGUAUGUGGUUAAUAAAAUGAAUUUAAUUAUUUUUACUGAACUAAUAAUACAUGACAGAUAUGAAUAAUGAGAUGUGAUGUGAUGGAAGCUAGACGUUAAUCAGAAUCUUUGUAUCUGAGAGAAACUGUGAAAUGUGGCUGUAAAAUAAUUGGUUGUUUAUUUAUAAAAAGCAUCAGACGCAAUCUGUCGUGCCAAGUCUACGCACCCUUGGUGUGGAGGUUCUCGUUCGAUCCGGGGGGUCGACGGUCACUGCCGGUGGAGUGAACUCUGAUAUCAGGAACCUGUAGACGGCUCCGAUAGGACCCGUCCAGUCUGAGAUCCCUCCAGGUGAAGGCAGGAAGCUGGAAUAUUUGGCUCUUAGAGAGCCGGUUGUCUGGUAUCAGCCGCAGCGUUGCAGAGAGGCUUUGUCAGGAGGUCAAAGGAGACGAUGGUUUCAAAAAGGCUUCUUUCCUGAUUUGGCCGGUUCGAGGGUCAGCGAGAAACUCAAUUAAUCAGGAAGUAAUUCUUGUUUUAUUAAACUACUUUGUUGUGGUUUCUGGCCGAGUUUGGCCAAUCAGAAUUUGACACGUUUCUGAUUAUUUACCAACAUCCUUCAGAAAGCCACGCCCUCCUCAGACACAAAGAUGUUUUUAACCUUAAUGAGUAUCUUAUGGUAACGUGUGUGAGUGUAAACAACGAUUCACUUGUUAAAUCAACACACACUGAUUUGUGAUAGAAAUGGAUCGUUGUAAGAACAAUGUUCAUUUCAAAUUCAUAGUUUAAGCACAGAUUAUUCAAACAUUUCAUUUAAACAUCUUGUUCAUUCAUCACAUCUGAUUAUUUAACGUAUAACUGUAACAUCGUGGAGUCUUCACUUGUUCAGAGUGAAGAAUGAUGACGUCUGGCGUUCAGAGAGAGUGCAGGAACCUUGGGAGAGAAUGUUUGUCUUCAUUAGUCAGCACGCGCUGAGCAGAACCUUCUGGAUUUAGAAGGCCACAGAAAGUGGAUUUAUGCUGUGGAUAAAAGGUUAUGUUGGCCAAUAUAAAGGAGAAAAUCAACCCUUUUGGACGUUAUAACCCCCCUUUCCAAGGUCAAGGGGUCAUGGCAGAAGACCACGACAACGGACCAAGCGGGAGAGAAACCUCCAAACCAGCAGAGGACCUCAUCAGGGCUACGCCUCAGCUCCUAGAGGACGUGGGGAUCCAGAGUCCAUCGCCACCACAACACUCACACCAGAUUUAGUUUUUGGGGACAGCAGCAGCUCAGGAGGUGGUGCUCACCGAGGAGGAGGCCCAUGUGUGGAAAAGGCCAAACACCCGUAGCUCACUGAUCCCUGCAGAGGAACCGGGAAGGCUGCAGGAGAUUCCCAGGACCGUCACCUCACAGCUUAGAGGGGCGCAGGAGAGAACGGCCACCAAGAAAAGAGUGCAGCGGCAGAGAAGACUUUCAGGUGGUUGUGGAUCAGAAGCAGUGAGCUGUGGUGUAGCGUGCUGCUUGGACUGCUGGGUCACCAGGAACCUGGCCUCGUCACCGACCACGCUGCAGUAGGUCAUGUUUGAACUGUCAAAUGAUGACAAUGUCUGACGAUCUGGAACAUGUCCACUGUGCUACUGAGAGCUGAGCCAGCACACGUUCUUCACUUCUGGAGACAGAUGUUUGUAGAGCUGAAGCUAAACCCACAGCUACGUUAGCAUCAGCCUUCUUCACAGUAAACUCAAAUCCUCUUCAGCAUCACAGAAAACGACGUCACUUCUCUUGUCUGAGCAGCACACGCCGUCCCGUGGUGACAGGACCCCCCCGUCGCUCUGACACCUGCAGAGCUUCAAAAGCUCCACCUCCAAGGCCUCUCAGAGGAAGUGCUAAAAAUACAACUGUGCCGCAAACGCUGUGUGGAAACACUCUUCUUCUGGGUUUCCACCCAUGGCUGCAUCAGAAAAGCAGUGAGUCGGUGCAGAGAAAACCAGAAAGAUUCAGAUGUUCUCAUCGUCCAAAUUUAAACCCAGAUGCUGUUGGAGGAUCUGGUGAAGACCAUCAGCUCUGGUUCCUCCCAAGGUCUGCAGAGGCACACCAGCUGGGACUCCAGGGGCUACAGCGCACAAAGUGCAUCACUGCCGCGAGGCGCGUGCAGCCCCGUCAGCCGAGAGGAGAUGACACCACGCACGUUCCCACAAUGGUUGAUAGCAGCAGCAUCAUCUGACCCACCUGGUGAAGUGCACCGUCAGAUUUAGCUCAGAAAAAUUCCCUCCGCUGCUGCUCUGCAACGUUGAUGUUUUAUCUCCACCAAUAACACGAGCCUGGAGGAGUUCUGCUGUGUGGUGGAGUUGCUAAUGCUAACAGUUAGCUUCUACUAGCUGAGACGUUCUCUGAUGUUUCCUGGACGCUAAACCAACAGCAGCUUCCCAUCGUGAGUCCAGAUAGGUGAGUCCAUGAAUGUUAGUGACAGGGUGACGUAGAUCUGUCAGGAUUUUCUAUCCUAGACUUUCGCUGUCUGUUUUCUAUCAGAAGCUGCUGCAGGAGGUAGGUGUAGGAGACUAUCUUCUAUCAGAAGCUGCUGCAGGAGGUAGGUGUAGGAGUAUUUAUAGAUUUAGGGAAAGCUUUUGACACUAUAGAUCACCAUAUUUUAUUUCAGAAAUUGGAACAGUUUGGUGUUAGAGAUAUUUCACGAGACUGGGUGAAAAGUUAUAUGACUAAACGUGAACAUGUGCAGAUGAAUGAAUUCAGUUUAAAGGGACUUUACAGAGUUUUGAGUUUUUAUGCUCGCGAUCGCCCCCUCAGGCCAAAAGCAUAACGGCAGCUUCAAUAGUAGGCUCGUGCACGAGGUGCGCAUGCUGUACGUGCACACUCCUUAACGAAAAUAACAGCUGAGACAGUCCCUUGUGUGUGUGUGUGUGGCCCGGAGGACCGAGGACAGGAGAGCGAGCGGCUAAUUAAUUAAAUAAUGUGGUUCUGUUGCUUUCUCUUCAGCACAGCCGACAAAGGUUUAUGAUGGGUCAGUCCUCCUGCAUGCUCAGAUCAUUCCCUUCCCUUGCUUGAAAAAUUGUUCCAAAAUGAAAGUUGAACCCACAUCUUUUUCAUCUGUGAAUUCAAAGCCGUUGGGCGAGUCUCAAAUACAAAUUUGGGCAUCUUACUGUAAAAAUAUACCAUUAAUGUAAAAAAGAAACUCUAAAUGAACUAUGUUCACAUCCAGAAUCAAACCCGGGUAUUUUGCACGAGAGUCAGAUGUCUUACAAGGUGAGCUAAAUCACCAGUAACAUCAUUUGUAUCUGUAACAUUUAUAUCCUUGAUGACAGCUGAAACAACGUCAAACCAAAGGACGGUUCGGAGUGAAAAUGGCUAUUUUGUUGCUAAUUAGCAGGAAAUAUCUAGAAGAAAGCUCUACAGAAAGUAGCUAAGGGUCCUCAGAAAUGUAGCUAGCUUUGUCACUAGGCGUUAGGAACAGCGACAAAGUGGCACUGCCUCUCUCUCUGCUGCUAAAGCUACGGAUAGCAAAUGCUACGGGCGAUGCCUGAGCGUGAACGCGCAUGAAGCAGCCUGCUCGACCCGAGCAUCU